rnacentral:rRNA from 1 species
UAAAACAUAGUGUUAAUGCACCAGAGCCCAUUAGAACAUGGUGAUUUCCUAGUUAAGCAUGCUCAGGAGAGUAAUACUAGGAUGGGUGACCUCCUGGGAAGCCCUAGUGUUUUAC